rnacentral:rRNA from 1 species
GUAGGUGGCAAGCGUUGUCCGGAAUUAUUGGGCGUAAAGCGCGCGCAGGCGGUUCUUUAAGUCUGAUGUGAAAGCCCACGGCUCAACCGUGGAGGGUCAUUGGAAACUGGAGAACUUGAGUACAGAAGAGGAAAGCGGAAUUCCACGUGUAGCGGUGAAAUGCGUAGAGAUGUGGAGGAACACCAGUGGCGAAGGCGGCUUUCUGGUCUGUAACUGACGCUGAGGCGCGAAAGCGUGGGGAGCAAACAGGGAUUAGAUACCCUGGUAGUCCACGCCGUAAACGAUGAGUGCUAAGUGUUAGGGGGGUUUCCGCCCCCCUAGUGCUGCAGCUAACGCAUUAAGCACUCCGCCUGGGGAGUACGGCCGCAAGGCUG